rnacentral:rRNA from 1 species
UGCCAGCCGCCGCGGUAAUACGGAUGGUGCGAGCGUUAAUCGGAAUUACUGGGCGUAAAGCGCGCGUAGGCGGCUAAGUCAGUCAGAAGUGAAAGCCCCGGGCUCAACCUGGGAAUUGCUUUUGAUACUGCUUAGCUAGAGUUUGGUAGAGGAUAGUGGAAUUCCAGGUGUAGCGGUGAAAUGCGUAGAUAUCUGGAGGAACAUCAGUGGCGAAGGCGACUGUCUGGACCAAAACUGACGCUGAGGUGCGAAAGCGUGGGUAGCAAACGGGAUUAGAUACCCUGGUAGUCCACGCCGUAAACGAUGUCAACUAGCCGUCGGGUCUAUUUACAGACUUGGUGGCGCAGCUAACGCGAUAAGUUGACCGCCUGGGGAGUACGGCCGCAAGGUUAAAACUCAAAGGAAUUGACGGGGGCCCGCACAAGCGGUGGAGCAUGUGGUUUAAUUCGAUGCAACGCGAAGAACCUUACCAGCUCUUGACAUCCAGAGAACUUUCUAGAGAUAGAUUGGUGCCUUCGGGAACUCUGAGACAGGUGCUGCAUGGCU